AACCCUGAAGUAUAUAAACUUACAAUAAACUGCAACUUUAUUAAAGCCUAAAGGCCUGGGUAU
rnacentral:tRNA from 1 species